CAUAGCGACUAUCGUGGCAUAUCAAUAAGCGGAGGAAAAGAAACUAACAAGGAUUCCCUUAGUAACGGCGAGUGAAGCGGGAAGAGCUCAAAUUUGAAAUCUUCAAGGUUUUACCUUGACGAAUUGUAGUUUAAAGAAGUGUUUUCUGUUGAAGUUUUGGUAAAAGUUCUUUGGAAUAGGACAUCAUAGAGGGUGAGAAUCCCGUAUUUGACCAUUAUUUUCAGCUGUGUGAUACACUUUCAAAGAGUCGGAUUGUUUGGGAAUGCAGUCCAAAAUGGGUGGUAAAUUUCAUCUAAAGCUAAAUAUUGGCGAGAGACCGAUAGCGAACAAGUACCGUGAGGGAAAGAUGAAAAGAACUUUGAAAAGAGAGUUAAACAGUACGUGAAAUUGUCAAGAGGGAAGCGUUUGACACCAGUGUUGUUUAGUUGAAAAUCAAUUCAAUAAUUUUUGAUUUUAAGUAGUAUUAACUUCAUCAGCUUGCUGCUUUCUUUUCAGGAAUUAUUGAAUGCACUUUUCAGUUAACAAGUCAACAUCAAUUUCUUUUGUUGUAAAAGGGUAAGAGGAAGGUGGCUUACGCUUCGGCGUAAGUGUUUAUAGCCUUUUACCUCUGCAAUCUGAGAGAUUGAGGACAGCAGCGUAGACUCUUCGGGGUUAGAUACACUUGUGCUAAGCUAUAGCCUUGUAUAGACAACUUGUUGACUAUGCUCAGUCAUGUAGCUUACUCGCUUGUGCUAUUUUACCUACGCUUAGGAUGUUGAUAUGCAUGACUGAUAU
rnacentral:rRNA from 1 species